rnacentral:rRNA from 1 species
UAGUCCUGGCCGUAAACGAUGGGCACUAGGUGUGGGAGGUAUCGACCCCUUCUGUGCCGUAGCUAACGCAUUAAGUGCCCCGCCUGGGGAGUACGGUCGCAAGAUUAAAACUCAAAGGAAUUGACGGGGACCCGCACAAGCGGUGGAGCAUGUGGUUUAAUUCGACGCAACGCGAAGAACCUUACCUGGGUUUGACAUCCGGAGAAUCCUUAUGAAAAUAGGGAGUGCCCCUUGGGGAAUUCCGUGACAGGUGCUGCAUGGCUGUCGUCAGCUCGUGCCGUGAGGUGUUGGAUUAAGUUCCGCAACGAGCGCAACCCCUAUCCUUAUUUGCCAUCAUUCAGUUGGGGACUAUAAGGAGACCGCCAGUUUAUGACUGGAGGAAGGUGGGGAUGACGUCAAGUCAGCAUGGCCUUUAUGUCCAGGGCUACACACGUGCUACAAUGGCUGGUACAACGGGUAGCAACACUGCGAAGUGAAGCGAAUCUCUUAAAGCCAGUCUCAGUUCGGAUUGG